UAACGAGAAUCCCCAAAUUAACAUUU
rnacentral:piRNA from 1 species